rnacentral:rRNA from 1 species
GACGAACGCUGGCGGCGUGCUUAACACAUGCAAGUCGAACGGAAAGGCCCUGCUUUUGUGGGGUGCUCGAGUGGCGAACGGGUGAGUAACACGUGAGUAACCUGCCCUUGACUUUGGGAUAACUUCAGGAAACUGGGGCUAAUACCGGAUAGGAGCUCCUGCUGCAUGGUGGGGGUUGGAAAGUUUCGGCGGUUGGGGAUGGACUCGCGGCUUAUCAGCUUGUUGGUGGGGUAGUGGCUUACCAAGGCUUUGACGGGUAGCCGGCCUGAGAGGGUGACCGGCCACAAUGGGAAUGAGAUUCCGCCCAGACUCCUACGGGAGGCAGGAGUGGGGAAUAAUGCAAAAUGGGCGGAAGGCUUAUGCAGGCAAGCCGCGUGCGGGAUGACGGCCCUCGGGUUGGAAACCGCUUUUGCCUGGGACGAAGCGUUAGUGACGGUAAUGGGUAAAGAAGCACCGGCUAACUACGUG